UUAGGUCGUUUCUUACACUAGUAACUUCUGAAUGGUUACCAAUAGUUCUCCCACACAAUUAAAUAACUUUAUCGUAUCAUUCAUGAAUGACCUACCAACCAUAUUGAGGUCGAUGAUUGAUUAAUUUUUAGAUAUAAACAAUAUAUCAUAACAAAGCUUAAAGUUUUACACUAAAUCAAAUUUACAUGUUCUCAAUUUUCUAUGCACACAUGGGUACAUC
rnacentral:lncRNA from 1 species